GGCCUGUUAGCUCAGUUGGUUAGAGCACCUUGCUAUUAACGCGGAGGUCAUGAGUUCCAUCUACUUACGGGCCA
rfam:Daphnia pulex DAPPTscaffold_147_Cont5770, whole genome shotgun sequence.